AGUGAACGCUGGCUGCGUGCUUAACACAUGCAAGUCGAACGAGAACGGAAUAUAGCUUGCCAUAAUUGUUAGCUAAGUGGCGCACGGGUGAGUAAUGUAUAGGUAAUAUGCCUCUUACUAAGGGAUAACAAAUGGAAACUUUUGCUAAUACCUUAUACUCCUUAUUAACAUAAGUUAAUAAGGGAAAGAUUUAUUGGUAAGAGAUUAGCCUGUAUUGUAUCAGUUAGUUGGUGGGGUAAUGGCUUACCAAGACUAUGACACAUAACUGGUUGGAGAGGAGAUACAGUCACACUGGAACUGAGACACGGGCCAGAAUCCUACGGGAGGCAGCGGUGGGGAAUAUUGCACAACGGACGAAAGCCUGAUGCAGCAACGCCGCGUGGAGGAUGACACAUUACGGUGCGUAAACUCCCUUUAUAUUUGAAGAUAAUGACGGUAUUAUAUGAAUAAGCACCGGCUAACUCCGUGCCAGCCGCCGCGGUAAGAC
rnacentral:rRNA from 1 species